rnacentral:rRNA from 1 species
AUUGAACGCUGGCGGCAGGCCUAACACAUGCAAGUCGAACGGUAACAGAAAGCAGCUUGCUGCUUUGCUGACGAGUGGCGGACGGGUGAGUAAUGUCUGGAAAACUGCCUGAUGGAGGGGGAUAACUACUGGAAACGGUAGCUAAUACCGCAUAACGUCGCAAGACCAAAGAGGGGGACCUUCGGGCCUCUUGCCAUCGGAUGUGCCCAGAUGGGAUUAGCUAGUAGGUGGGGUAACGGCUCACCUAGGCGACGAUCCCUAGCUGGUCUGAGAGGAUGACCAGCCACACUGGAACUGAGACACGGUCCAGACUCCUACGGGAGGCAGCAGUGGGGAAUAUUGCACAAUGGGCGCAAGCCUGAUGCAGCCAUGCCGCGUGUAUGAAGAAGGCCUUCGGGUUGUAAAGUACUUUCAGCGGGGAGGAAGGGAGUAAAGUUAAUACCUUUGCUCAUUGACGUUACCCGCAGAAGAAGCACCGGCUAACUCCGUG